rnacentral:rRNA from 1 species
UACGUAGGGUGCAAGCGUUGUCCGGAAUGAUUGGGCGUAAAGCGUCCGCAGGUGGCUAUGUAAGUCUGCUGUUAAAGAGUGAGGCUCAACCUCAUAAGAGCAGUGGAAACUACAUGGCUAGAGUGCGUUCGGGGCAGAGGGAAUUCCUGGUGUAGCGGUGAAAUGCGUAGAGAUCAGGAAGAACACCGGUGGCGAAAGCGCUCUGCUAGGCCGCAACUGACACUGAGGGACGAAAGCUAGGGGAGCGAAUGGG